GACGAACGCUGGCGGCGUGCCUAAUACAUGCAAGUUGAGCGCUGAAGGUUGGUCCUUGUACCAACUGGAUGAGCAGCGAACGGGUGAGUAACGCGUGGGGAAUCUGCCUUUGAGCGGGGGACAACAUUUGGAAACGAAUGCCAAUACCGCAUAAAAACUUUAAACACAAGUUUUAAGUUUGAAAGAUGCAAUUGCUUCACUCAAAGAUGAUCCCGCGUUGUAUUAGCUAGUUGGUGAGGUAAAGGCUCACCAAGGCGAUGAUACAUAGCCGACCUGAGAGGGUGAUCGGCCACAUUGGGACUGAGACACGGCCCAAACUCCUACGGGAGGCAGCAGUAGGGAAUCUUCGGCAAUGGACGAAAGUCUGACCGAGCAACGCCGCGUGAGUGAAGAAGGUUUUCGGAUCGUAAAACUCUGUUGGUAGAGAAGAACGUUGGUGAGAGUGGAAAGCUCAUCAAGUGACGGUAACUACCCAGAAAGGGACGGCUAACUACGUG
rnacentral:rRNA from 1 species